UGAGUAACGCGUGGGUAACCUGCCUCACACAGGGGGAUAACAGUUGGAAACGACUGUUAAUACCGCAUAAGCGCACAGUACCGCAUGGUACAGUGUGAAAAACUCCGGUGGUGUGAGAUGGACCCGCGUCUGAUUAGCUAGUUGGUGAGGUAACGGCCCACCAAGGCGACGAUCAGUAGCCGGCCUGAGAGGGUGUACGGCCACAUUGGGACUGAGACAGGCCCAAACUCCUACGGGAGGCAGCAGUGGGGAAUAUUGCACAAUGGGGGAAACCCUGAUGCAGCGAACCGCCGCGUGAGUGAUGAAGUAUUUCGGUAUGUAAAGCUCUAUCAGCUAGGGAAGAUAAUGACGGUACCUGACUAAGAAGCACCGGCUAAAUACGUGCCAGCAGCCGC
rnacentral:rRNA from 1 species